GAUGAACGCUAGCUACAGGCUUAACACAUGCAAGUCGAGGGGCAGCAUGGUCUUAGCUUGCUCAGGCCGAUGGCGACCGGCGCACGGGUGAGUAACACGUAUCCAACCUGCCGUCUACUCUUGGACAGCCUUCUGAAAGGAAGAUUAAUACAAGAUGGCAUCAUGAGUUCACAUGUUCACAUGAUUAAAGGUAUUCCGGUAGACGAUGGGGAUGCGUUCCAUUAGAUAGUAGGCGGGGUAACGGCCCACCUAGUCUUCGAUGGAUAGGGGUUCUGAGAGGAAGGUCCCCCACAUUGGAACUGAGACACGGUCCAAACUCCUACGGGAGGCAGCAGUGAGGAAUAUUGGUCAAUGGGCGAGAGCCUGAACCAGCCAAGUAGCGUGAAGGAUGACUGCCCUAUGGGUUGUAAACUUCUUUUAUAAAGGAAUAAAGUCGGGUAUGGAUACCCGUUUGCAUGUACUUUAUGAAUAAGGAGCGGCUAACUCCGUG
rnacentral:rRNA from 1 species